rnacentral:rRNA from 1 species
UACGGGGGGAGCAAGCGUUGUUCGGAAUUACUGGGCGUAAAGGGCUUGUAGGUGGCCAACUAAGUCAGACGUGAAAUCCCUCGGCUUAACCGGGGAACUGCGUCUGAUACUGGAUGGCUUGAGAUUGGGAGAGGGAUGCGGAAUUCCAGGUGUAGCGGUGAAAUGCGUAGAUAUCUGGAGGAACACCGGUGGCGAAGGCGGCAUCCUGGACCAACACUGACGCUGAGGAGCGAAAGCCAGGGGAGCAAACGGG